UCCCAUUCUCCAUUCUAAAAGCGUCAGGUUGUAAGACAAUGGCCGCCGUUAAUGAUCCAUGGAUGGUGUGUAUCUGGCUAACGUGUUAUUUCGGCCGUGCGUGUUACGAUGCUAUUAUAAAAGCUUAUUAAGACGAACGGUAAUUAUUACUCGCCACGUCGAAUAUUCGUGUGCUCAGAAAGUCGAGAAAUUAAUAAUUAUCGAUGGAUCGGCCCACGGUGUCUGUAGAUACAAGACAUCAAGAUAACGCGUAUAGGAUACGCGCAUCAAUUAUGGAGAAUGUAUCGAAGAGCUCGAUUCGACCAAGUCGCCCUCAACGAGGAAACAUUCGUCGUAAGUGCAAAUUACGUGCCACAUAUCGACUACUUACUUAUGCAUACGGAUUAUAUUGCAAAAGAAUUAGUUUUCGCAACGAUUCCUCUAGCGCCGGACGAUUUGUAUGAGCUACGUCGAGACUACAGAAUGAGAAAGAGAAAUAUCGAGAGAGUUCUUUUGUACGGAGCCACGAAGGAGAUUUCGAAAGACACGUUCCCGACGUAUUGAUCGAACGAAAGAGAUACGUCUUAUUUGCGUAAUAAAUUCUGCAGCGUCACAGAGCAAAAUUACCAGAGCCUUCGUGGUAGUUCAACGAGAAAGAAAAUCGAAGGAGAUGCCAGUCGGGUGUGCAUGUUGCUGCCGCCUUUGAACGAUACCCGCCCGUUCUCUUCGAGUAAUUUAAAACUUCUAAGGCACCGUUACCGACGACGACGACGACGACGACGACGACGACGACGACGACGAUCACGACGAGAAGAUAUCGCGUUUGCACCUGCUACAACGAUGCCGCCCCCUCGUUGCGGUAUAAAUGUGUCGGACGAGAAAAUAUCUUGCGUGCUUUUUAUAUCGGAAAAGUCGUGGGCUCGAACCCCUCGAGAAAGAGAGGGGAUGCAAGCUAUAAAAUAUUUAUAGUUAUUCUAGAAGGCCAUGGCAAUGGUGCACUGGUGCAUCUUAUGUAGCGCUACUGGUUCCAAUAAGAUAAUAACUUUCUUGCGAACCUUUGAAAGUAACUUUUUCUUUUUUCGUAGAAAGCAUAAUGAAAAUUUACUCUCUUCUAUUUAAUCCAACAUACUUUUAUUUUUCCUUUUAUUUGCGAAGUGAAUAAAUGAAACGAAAAUGAAAAAUAUCGUCGAGCGUAUCAGCUGUGAGAUUAAAUUUGAGAUAAUAAAUGAGUAAGAAUAUA